AAAUAUUUACCUACAGGUUCCUCCUGAAUGGCUUUCAAAAUUCCAACUACCAUCGAGGUUCUCUGCCUCAGUAGAGUUGGAUACCCAGAAGGGAUAUCUCAUCAGCAGUACUCUGAGCAACAGUGGAUUGCAAAAAAAAAUUAUUGCAGAGUAUCCUUGUAUGGUUAGCAGGAUACUAGACUAAGUUGACUUGGAAACUGAAUGGAUUGGUAUGGUCUAAAAAUCUAUUGCUUCACCUCUUCUGCUUGCAGUGAAGAGAGAGAAUUUUGUGGUGCUGAAUCUCUUGCCUUAAAAUAAAAAGUUGCAAAAUAAUCACUCUCACCUUUUAAGUUCAUGACCUUUGUUCUUGUGUGUUUGUCAUCACAUGCAUUUAAUGAAGUUGUGACCAUUUUGGAGGUACAAGUCCAAAAAACUGCUACUUUGGUACUAAGAUGAACAGCUAAAAUUUCUGAGCCCAUUUGCCAAUGAAGUCCAGAUACAAAGGUUCAAGUACUUUGGGGUUGUAUUAAUUUUGCCUUUUUGUUUAGUUUUUUUGAUUUUGCAAUUUUUUAAAAUAUUCCUGUUGUCAAACCAUUAGAUAAAUAUUGGACAUAGAAUAGCUGAUUUUUUUCAGAUAUUUUGGGAGUCAUACAUUAGUUUUUCAAGUCUUGAAUGGGAGACAAA